CUUGAGCGAGCCGAGCCAGAGCGGCCGGCCGUCGUGCCGGUCCUGGCCGUACGUGGCCAGCAGCGCCUGUGCCUC
rfam:Streptomyces avermitilis MA-4680 = NBRC 14893 DNA, complete genome.